CCCGCUGAACUUAAGCAUAUCAAUAAGCGGAGGAAAAGAAACUAACAGGGAUUCCCUUAGUAACGGCGAGUGAAGAGGGAAGAGCUCAAAUUUUGAAUCUGGUAUCUUCGAUGUCAGAGUUGUGAUCUAGAGAAGUGUUUUCCGUGAUGGACCAUGCAUAAGUCUCCUGGAAUGGAGCGUCGUAGAGGGUGAGAAUCCCGUCUUUGACACGGACGCCCAGUGCUUCUGUGAUGCGCUCUCGAAGAGUCGAGUUGUUUGGGAAUGCAGCUCAAAAUGUGUGGUGAACUCCAUCUAAAGCUAAAUAUUGUCGAGAGACCGAUAGCGAACAAGUACCGUGAGGGAAAGAUGAAAAGCACUUUGUAAAGAGAGUGAAACAGUACGUGAAAUUGUUGAAAGGGAAACGCUUGAAGUCAGUCGCGUCGUCCGAGACUCAGCCUCGCCUCGGCUUGGUGUACUUCUCGGACGACGGGUCAGCAUCAAUUUUGCCCCUUGGAUAAUGGCGAGGGAAAUGUGACACCUUUGCGGGUGUGUUAUAGUCUCUAGUCGCAUGCAAGGGUCGGGAUUGAGGAACUCAGCACGCGCCUUCGGGCGUCGGGGUUCGCCCACGAUACGUGCUUAGGAUGUUGGCGUAAUGGCUUUAAACGACCCGUGCAUGAAACACGG
rnacentral:rRNA from 1 species